rnacentral:tRNA from 2 species
GCGAGAGUGGUGAAAUUGGCAGACACGCCAGACUUAGGAUCUGGUACCUUACGGUAUAGGGGUUCAAGUCCCCUCUCUCGCA